AACGUAGGACGCAAACGUUAUCCGGAAUUACUGGGCGUAAAGGGCGCGCAGGCGGGUGGGUAAGUGAGGCAUGAAAGCUCCCUGGCUAAACCGGGAGAGGAUGUCUGAGACUGCCGAUCUGGAGUGAGGUAGAGGGGUGUGGAAUUCCGCGUGUAGUGGUGAAAUGCGUAGAGAUGCGGAGGAACACCAGUGGCGAAGGCGGCACCCUGGACCUUAACUGACGCUGAGGCGCGAAAGCAUGGGGAGCGAACGGG
rnacentral:misc_RNA from 1 species